rnacentral:rRNA from 1 species
AGUCGAGGGGUAGGGCAGCAAUGCCUGAGACCGGCGCACGGGUGCGUAACGCGUAUGCAAUCUACCUUAUACAGAGGGAUAGCCCAGAGAAAUUUGGAUUAAUACCUCAUAGCAUAGCAACUUCGCAUGAAGUCACUAUUAAAGUUCCAACGGUAUAAGAUGAGCAUGCGUCCUAUUAGCUAGAUGGUAAGGUAACGGCUUACCAUGGCUACGAUAGGUAGGGGUCCUGAGAGGGAGAUCCCCCACACUGGUACUGAGACACGGACCAGACUCCUACGGGAGGCAGCAGUGAGGAAUAUUGGACAAUGGGCGCAAGCCUGAUCCAGCCAUGCCGCGUGCAGGAAGACGCAUCUAUGGUGUGUAAACUGCUUUUGUACGGGAAGAAACACUCCCUCGUGAGGGAGCUUGACGGUACCGUAAGAAUAAGGAUCGGCUAACUCCGUGCCAGCAGCCGCGGUAAUACGGAGGAUCCAAGCGUUAUCCGGAAUCAUUGGGUUUAAAGGGUCCGUAGGCGGUUUGGUAAGUCAGUGGUGAAAGCCCAUCGCUUAACGAUGGAACGGCCAUUGAUACUGCCAGACUUGAAUUACUGGGAAGUAACUAGAAUAUGUAGUGUAGCGGUGAAAUGCUUAGA